CCUACGGGAGGCAGCAGUGGGGAAUAUUGGGCAAUGGGCGCAAGCCUGACCCAGCAACGCCGCGUGAAGGAAGAAGGCUUUCGGGUUGUAAACUUCUUUUCUGAGGGACGAAGUACGUGACGGUACCUCAGGAAUCAGCCACUGCUAACGACGUGCCAGCAGCCGCGGUAAUACGUAGGUGGCAAGCGUUAUCCGGAUUUAUUGGGUGUAAAGGGCGUGUAGGCGGGAAAGCAAGUCAGAUGUGAAAACCCAGGGCUUAACCCUGCGACUGCAUUUGAAACUGUUUAUCUUGAGUGCUGGAGAGGCAAGCGGAAUUCCGAGUGUAGCGGUGAAAUGCGUAGAUAUACGGAGGAACACCAGUGGCGAAGGCGGAUUGCUGGACAGUAACUGACGCUGAGGCGCGAAAGCGUGGGGAGCAAACAGGAUUAGAUACCCUUGUAGUC
rnacentral:rRNA from 1 species